GCCUGCCCAGUGAUAUUUUUUAACGGCCGCGGUACUCUGACCGUGCGAAGGUAGCAUAAUCACUUGUUCUUUAAAUGAGGACUAGUAUCAACGGCAUCACGAGGAUUUUACUGUCUCCUUUUUCCUAUCGGUGAAACUGAUCUCCCCGUGAAGAAGCGGGGAUAAUUCUAUAAGACGAGAAGACCCCAUGGAGCUUUAAACCCAGAGACACCUCAAACCCCCCUUUCCAUAAAAGUUUUUAUGUGCUGUCCUCUGGUUUUAGGUUGGGGUGACCGCGGAGUAAAACUUAACCUCCACAACGCACGGAACUUCUUCCUUAUCUAAGAGCAACAUCUCAAAGAAUUGACAUAUUGACGUAAAAUGAUCCAAUAACUUUUAUUUUGAUCAACGAACCAAGUUACCCUGGGGAUAACAGCGCAAUCCAUUUCCAGAGCCCCUAUCGACAAAUGGGUUUACGACCUCGAUGUUGGAUCAGGGUAUCCCAGUGGUGCAGCCGCUACUAAUGG
rnacentral:rRNA from 1 species